rnacentral:misc_RNA from 1 species
AGGAGGAGGAGGAGGAGGAGGGGGUGUUGCAAAAGGUGGUGGCGGAUGGUGGUGAUGGUGAUGGUGGUGGGGAUGAGGGAGAGGGGUAGGAGAAGGUGAGGGACUGCCUUCGCCACCAUGGAGUGAAUGUGGCAAGAUAGAUGAAAGACGCACUUGCUUAACUUUACCAAAAACAGUGUUAUUCAGACCAAGGUUCCUUGAAUGACCUCUUAUGGUUUGAGCCAGUUGCUUUAACCUUUGCAUUGAGGGAGUAUUCCCAACAGCCAAUACAACAGAUGACUGAACAGUAGUAGGGGGAGCCACCGUUGAACCUUUGGAGUUUGAUAAACUUAUGUACAAGUUCUCAUAAGCCGCUAGAUGUAGGCCUGACUUCAGCUGACUUGUUAGUUCAGCAAAAUUUACUUGUAUUUGAUAAAUAGAGAAGUUCAAAGUGAAGUUGAAUCGUAUUUGCACUUUCUGCAGAAGAAACGCACUCUGUGGUGGAAUUAUAGUGAUCCCUCCAGGGAAUUUUUGCACCUCGAAAGAGAAUGGAUCCCCAAAUAAGGAUUUAGUCAAGCUGAAUGAUUGAUUUACAACCAAAAACUCAAAAGUGGCCCUGAUAAGACUUUGAGUAGUUGAUGAUAAUUUUGAAUUUUUUGCAUCAGGAUCAACCCCAAACACAACCGUUGUUGUGUUUGGUUCCACUGAAGGUUCUAGAGACAAUAUAGCCACCUUGAUGCUAGGAGAGCUUAUCUCAUAAAAAACAUCGUCCACAAGCUGCAAGAUAUUGUCUUCCAGAAAGGGAAUUGAAUUUCUGACAUUGAAACUUGCUACUAUAUCGUGAUUUUUAAACCUGGGAUCAAGAUCCAGAUCUCCCUGAUCUGCAAAGUGAAGGAAGGGAGGUAGCCAGAAGACAGCAGAGAGAAACAAAGCCACAGACAACAGAAGCACCAAUACACAUCUGAGCCGAAUGAGCCUAUAAAUGCGUUUAAACCCACAACCACAACAUCCAAAGGAUCUCCUCUGUACAUUUUGCUGAGAACUAUCAUCACUGGUAGGCAAUGGCUGCUCCUCUUCAACACCAACCUUUCCCAUAAGCAAAGCAAAGAACAAUGCAGACAAUAGCAAGACAAAACUUCUUGUAGCUUAUGGUCCUUCAUGCCAACAGCCAUAGCAUGUUUGGUGGCGAACUAGGUCUCUGUUGGUUGCUCCCAUUUCCCUAUUAUUCUUCCUUAUCAGUGGGUUUGGUUUCUACAGUAAAAAAAAAAAAAAAAAAGGAAAGAAGGAUUUCUUUGUCUCAACAAAUUUACCAUAAUUCAUUCCACAGUUGAUGUUAGGACGCAUUUCACUAUCAUGUUCUAGGAUGUGGGUCACCAUUAUCAGUUAGAUAACCAACUAUAUUGACCUCAGGAUCUUGUCACACUUAUAAUUUAUUGGCAGUUAGGAUUAGGCUGACCUAACAAAUUUAGUACGAAUGGUUGAAAUCUGUGUGGUAUACUUGUAUAUUAGUAAAAUGAAUUUUGACUUACAUCACCAUUUUGGUUUCCAACACUAGAGGUUUUUUCUGCUAAUAUCUAUGUAUUUGGAUUUUUAUACCUGUAUGCUAUUUGCUUCUAGCUAUUGAGGACAUUUGGUUGUGAAAUUAGUGACUUAAUUUAGUACUAUAACAAGAUUGGCAAAAUUAUCAUAAUUCUCGUUUGAACCUCCAGGCACAUCCAGCCCUAAACAAGA